UAGCAAAUCUUAUUUUUUUCAAAAGUGUAGAUUUGCAGCUGACUUUCCUUCCAACUCCCUACACAAAUUUCAACCUUCAUAAUUUCCAUUGUCUACGGAAUCCACUUAUAAAUACAUAGCAUAUCAGUUAACACACAGCUCACUCCACUAGCAAGAACCACACCCGUGCAGAGAAAGUGAAGCCAACAAGCUUCAAAACAAACUUUGCAUACUUCUUAAGCUCAAGUGAGCUCCCUUCGCCAGGCUAUUUCUUCGCCGACCGGCCACUAGGCUCUGAACCGAGAACGUGUACUCGUUCCUCCAUCUUCAGGCUACCAAACCCAACAAUCGAAAGGCCAAAGCCUUCUCUAUAUUUUCCUGGCCAAAAGCCGCAAUAUCCUUCGGAGGCCAACGUCGAAUUCCCGACUUAGCCACCGGCCAACUUACGGCUUUCGUUUCUCACUAUCCUUACGACGAAAAAGGAUUGAGAAAACACCGUUGUGUAGCCUGAUCUACCUCGCACGAGGAAGACUAAGUCGUAGACCUUCGCGGCUAAACACCAUCGCGGAACGACGACCAGAAAACCCCCGACGAACAACUUCCAUUAGUGCUCACUUGGACAAGGGUUCAAAUAAACAAAAGCGUCUGAGUAACCUAUCGCGCUAAGGAAAGAGAAUCAUUGUCUUAAGUAGCAAAACACUGCAAUCAGGUGGGCAUUACUUUUACUAUACGUAUAUAGAGAUCCCCUGCGUGUCGUAGGCCUCUUAUACGAAUGAAUGCAUGAGAUGAUUUAACUGUUAAUUUCAGUUUCAUAUAUAUAUCAAAUGAGUUUAAAUGUUACGUUCAAGCAAGUUAUUUCAUGACAAAAUCUUUGAGUUAAAGUUAUUUCAAGUAUUGUCUUGCCAUAAAAUGUUUAAAUUUUAGUAUGAUAUCUAUCUGCUUUGGCUUUGCCAAUGAUGCAAUCGAAUUCGGGUCCUGAGCAGUUGAUAGCUAUCCUGCCUUGACUAGUGUACACCAGUGACCGUGAGUCAUCUAGCGGGUUGGCCGGUCAAGUGACCGUGAGAGGUGGCCACCUCUCCGGCACACAGUUCCAGAUAUGAUAGAUUACAAGAGAACUUAGACUGCAGACGAACUUUAAGAAUCACAAAUGAACUUAGUAAGCUUGGGCCUUUUUAGCGAAAAACUCCCUUGCUGUACUGUUUAUGAUGGCAUGACAAUUUACAGUUUUUGAAGCAUGUAUUUUUAUACCUAGGCAUACGUGCCCACUGAGUGCUUUUGUACUCAGCCCUGCAUAUGUUUUCUAAAUGUGCAAGUUGAGCUGAUGUGAUGAUGGUGCUGCAAUGAGCGGAGUCUCCAGGGUUGUUAAUAAAUAGUUAACCUGUCUAGAAUAUGUCUUCAUACAUAUGUCUAGCUACUUUCCGCUGCAAGAUGUUGUUGAUGUUAUAGUAUGUUAUGUCAUACUUUGAGUCUUAAGAGAAUGGUUUCAUAUGAUGUAUAACUUGAUUAAUGAUAUUAAUUAAGUUUUAUGCUGUCUUUCAUAGACUAUUUUCAA